AAGAGACAGCAGUCGCCGCGGUAAUACAGAGGGUGCGAGCGUUAAUCGGAUUUACUGGGCGUAAAGCGUGCGUAGGCGGCUUCUUAAGUCGGAUGUGAAAUCCCUGAGCUUAACUUAGGAAUUGCAUUCGAUACUGGGAAGCUAGAGUAUGGGAGAGGAUGGUAGAAUUCCAGGUGUAGCGGUGAAAUGCGUAGAGAUCUGGAGGAAUACCGAUGGCGAAGGCAGCCAUCUGGCCUAAUACUGACGCUGAGGUACGAAAGCAUGGGGAGCAAACAGGAUUAGAUACCCGGGUAGUCCCUGUCUCUUAUAC
rnacentral:rRNA from 1 species